CUAAAAACGCAAAUUGAUCUAAAUUAAAUUAAACUAAAACACUAAUUAAAUUAAAAUAAUAACCAAAAAUAUCUUUGUCCUGAUGAUAUAAAAAAUGACAGACCUUAAUACUGUAAGAUCUUCUUGACUCAAUCGAAGAGAAAAAAUAAUAAUAAUCAUUCAAUAUGAGAAAACGGGCUUGCUCCUUUUCGCGUGAUUCUUCGAGGUGGUCGUCCAUCGAUCGAGAAUCGAGAGAAAUUAUUUAUGAAAAGUGAAAAUUUUUAAAAAUAAUGAAAAGAAAAGAGAGAAAACUCUAAGAGACGGAAACACACAAAGAGAAAUGAAGAGAGAGAGAGAGAGAGAGAGAGAGAGGCACCAAACGAAUAACAAGUAAAGAAAGAAAGAUAGAAAGAAAAAGCCUUUCGCCGAGACGAUAUCAUUCAAGUCUCCCCUUUCGAAGACUCGUUGAAAGGAGAAAGAGAGAGAUAGAGAUAGAGAGAGAGAGAGAGAGAGAGAGAGAGAGAAACAGAAAGAGAGAAAGAGAGAGAGAGAGAGGGGGGUGAAAGAGAAGGGGACCGUAAACUCUUUGUCAUCCGAUCGACGCUGUCAAUUUUAUCGACGAGUUGUCGUCCUUCGAUGAUCGAGAGUUACGGAAAAAGGACGUAGAAAAGUUCGCGUACUGCGUACGCCACGAGAAAGGGGAAAAAAGCGAAGGAAAAUCGUGGAAAAGCAACGAUCGGACUCUCUCGACGAUUUUACGGAUGCGCGACGUCUACUACACCGACACACAGACACAUACUCAUCUAUCUACGAAUGGACGAUAAAAGGAGACGAUAAAGUGAAAAAGAUGUGAAUAAAGAGAUAGAGAUCGAACGGCGUGAAGGAACGUUUGUAUUUCCUCGGUCGGUGGCGAAAAAUUGAUAUCCAUAUGUAAAUUCUAUUAAGAAGAAAAUAAAUUGAAAUAUAGGUCGAUCGAGACUCGCCGUUAAUUAACAUUUUUUGACGCGACUGGGCCGAAGCGUGGAGACCGAGCACACGGGACAAGAAGAAACGCGAUAAUAAACAUUAUACUGAGAGAAAGAGAAAACGAGUGAUAGAGAGAGAAAGAAAGAGAGAAAGAGAAAAAGAGAGAGAGAGAGAGAGAGAGAGAAAGAGAGAAAGAGAGAAAGAAAGGAAGAAAGGAAGAGAAAUAGGAAGGAAGGAAAUGACAAAGAAUAAUGUGUAAGAGGCGGAAAGAAUAAUAAGCAUACGUACAUACAUAAAUGCGUAAGUUUUAAGAAGGCGUAAGCAGAACUAAGUAAUAGUAUCUAACGUUAACACUUGCAAGCUAUUAAUUAUUAUAUUAUCGAUUAAUUAAAGAUAUAAAAAAAAAAAAAAACAAACCGAGCGGAAGGUCGUAUCACGCUAGGAUGAAGAAUACCUACUUAAGAUUAAUGAAAGAAAAAAAAAAAAGACACACACUAAUAAACUAAUUAUUAUUGUACGAUUAUAUUAUAUUAUUAUUACGAAUAUGACUAUCGAGUUCGAGAUUAAGUCGUGAUAAAGAAAUAAACUGAGAGAAAGGAAGUGAGAUAGAAAGAAAGAAAUAGAUCACAAGAGAACGAACGAACGAACGAACGAACGAACGAACGAACGAACGAACGAACGAAUGAACGAACGAAUGAGCGAAUGUAUUAGAGAGGGAAGAAAGAUCGAAUGUAAGCGAGAGUGAAAGAAAAAGAAACGAGAGAAAGAACGAAGGAGAAAAAAAAGUCGAGUGUUCGUAUGAGUGCGAACGAAAGUGAAGAAGUGAAUGAGAGAAUGAAAGAAUGAUAGAGCGAGAGACAGCGCGCGCGAAAAUUCUUUGUAAGUUCAUUGAGAAUAAUAAUUCCUCAAACUAUUAGGAUCAUAAUUAGGGUUAACUUAAUCGGUGAAUGCGCGAUAGCGGAAGCGACGAGGCUAUAUACAGAUAUGAAAGGGGGGGAGGAAGCGACAGAGAGAUGAAACUUUUUCUCCGUAGAAUUGCAACGACUCGUUAAUCGCGUCUUUCGGGUUUUUUUUUUUCGCGUGUGCGCGCGUGAUACACACAUUGAGAAUUAAAAUAAAAUUAAAAUUAACCAAUAAUAAUAAUAAUAAUAGGAAGAUGAAGAACAUGCGAAUCGAGGAGGGAAAACGCGUGAAUGGGACAAGGGUGUCUGCGAGAGAAAAAAAGGAUAGUCGAAGAAUUAAGAGAGAGAGAAAGAGAGAGAGAGAGAGAGAGAGAGAGAGAGAGAGGGAGAGAGAAAGAGAAAAGGAGAAUAUAUAUAAUAUAUAUCGCGUGCGUACGCCAAAUAAAAAAAAAAAAAAAAAGAAAAAAAGGAGAAAAGAAAUAAAAACUAAUUGUUAGCACCGAGUGAGCAAAACUUUUCUGUGUGAUAAUCUCGUAGUACACGUAGCGCGUUAAGUCUACUAUACGUUUUCAAUAGGAAAACUAAAGGUGUGAAAUGGAAUUUUUUUUCUUCGGUAAAUUCGGGAUUGUAAGACGAGCGUGAAGCUUUCGAGUAUUCGUUUACCUUCUUUUCUUUUUUUUCUUUUUUUUUCUUUUUUUUUUUUUUUUUUUUGAUCAUUUUAUAUUCCGAGAGGCUAUGAUAAAGGGGAGAAUAAUUUUUAUCGAGAUUUUACUCGAAGCAUCUCUUCGACGCUUCGACGUAACAACAUAUCAUAAUUAAUAUUGUUAUCGCAAUUGAUUGUUAUCGAAUGUUUCGUUGCAGAUAGAAAGAGGAAUUCGUCGAUUACUCCGAUUCCUCUGUAUUAUCUUCUAAUUAAUUAAUAAUAUUAUGUAUCUUCGAUUCGUAUUAUUCAUCCUCGACUUUGGUUCCCAAGGAUAAAAGGACGACGAUUUUCCGUAUAGAAAUUCUCACAUAAAUGAUAUUUUACAGAAUGACGAGUCGCAGUCGAUACUCCUGCCUCGUCGACACACUUUCUUUUCGCGUCGAUGCCCAACGGUUAUACGUUAUAUGUAUUUGAUAAGAGAAUGAACGAGUAGAAGAAGAAAGAAUAAUUAUUUCUUAGACCGACGAUACGUUCGAUCAAUCCUUCAAAUGCUUUGAUUUGCAGGCCACCCGACGAGAGGCUGUCGAUACUCCAGCUCUCGAUUUACCUGCGAUCAUAGUAUAUAUAUAUAUAUAUACAUAUGUAUAUAUACUUCCAUAUAUACAUAAUGUUAACGAAUAAUUUACGUGCCUUGGAACCAUAGUCGAUGCAUAAUGAAUGGAUCACGUUUUUCCUCUUAACUCGAUAUCGGAAGCCUCUCAGGAUAGCGACAUACUUUGGAAGAUUCACGCGAGUAAGCUGAAUUGCAGGAUUGGACGAGUGGGUGAGAGGGAGGGUGGGAUAGGUCGAAGGUUAUUUAGGAAGAAAAAGGUGUGCGCAAAAGAGAGAGAGAGAGAGAGAGAGAGAGAGAGAGAGAGAGGAAAAGUGAAAGAAUGCGUGUGUGCCGAGGAUGAGAGAAAUGUAGAAGCAUAGAAGGGAGCCAAGUGUCCUUGAUGCGACCGUCGUUGAAGCCACGAAAUCUCGCGAUCUCAACAGGUGAUUUUUUUUAUUCGAACGGAUGAUACAUUUAAAGAAAUGGAUAUUAUAUGUAUAAAACAAAAAAAAAAAAAGAAUGGAAAGAGAAAAGUUGAGAGAGUACGAGGGAAAAAGUCACGACUGAUAAGAAAUCCGUGUUAAUUGUGAUUUCGGAACUGAGUUCGGAGCCACGGGCGAGACACGUUCGGCGCAAACCGAUCCUAUAGAAUGAGAAAGAAAGAUAGAGAGAGACAGAGAGAGAGAGAGAGAGAGAGAGAGAAAGAGAGUGAGAGAGAGAGAGAGAAAGAAAGAGAGAGUGAAAGAGAGAGAGAGCAAAUGGAUUAGAGAGAAAGAGAAAAUGUGAAUGUACGUCAUACGUAUGCUCGCGUGGUCGAGGAAAAACGAGAGGAAGAUGUGAAAUUGUGGAUGAAAGUGAGUUUAAGUGUUGAGAGGUGAAAUUAAGGGAGAAAAAAAGAGAAAUCGUAAAAAUUAUACAGAGAGAGAGAGAGAGAGAGAGAGAGAGCCGGCCUCCUUGACUACCGGGAGGCCCGCGAUAUAUGUAUUGUAGAGAUCGUCUAGGAAAAAAAUGAUAAACUAGGAUGAAACUUGAAAACUAGGAGAAAAUUAUUAGGCCAGUUGUGUAAGUAUAAUAAGAUUAUCGCGGAGUUCUUACUCCACCCCAUCCUUUUCGUGCACGAUACUUUUUCGGCAAUUCUUUCGGACUUGAGAGAAAUUGUAUGAAUGAGAGAAUGAUGAAUCGUAUAUGAACGAAAUGAAGAACGAACGAAGAAGAGAGAAAGAGAAAGAGAGAAAGAGAGAGAGAGAGAGAGAGAGAGAGAAAGAGAAAGAGAGAGAGAGAGAGAAAGAGAGAGAGAGAGAGAGAGAAAUAGAAAGAUAAAGAGAAUAAAAGUGCUUAAAAUAAGACAUCGAACACAUUACAUAUGCACGCACACGCACAUACACAUACAUUCUCCAAACCCACCAUCCCAGCAUGAAAGAAGUUUUGGUUAUCGCAAGGAGUUCGGAACGCUGCUAUGCACCGAUAACACACACGUAUAUUGAUUAAAUGCAAUUACUAUGCGAUAAGUAUACUUACAAUAAUAUAUAUGUGUACUAUGGUCUCUCCCACUCCCCAUCGAAAAUGCCCGAUCUUGUUACGAUCGUGCAGCGAGCUCGGUGUGCCUCUAAGAGAUCCACUAGAGUUUUGCAGUGAUCGAUCCUAACUCGACGGUGCCUCACACACAGCACACGUAACAUCGAUAAACCCCCAUAACACCCGUAACCCUUGAAACUAACAGCCCUUCCCCCCGAAAACAUUCCCUAAAACUAUGCCCCCAAAACUACAAGCGUAGAAUUAACCGCAUUAACUAUGAAUGACAAGAGCUACGUAAGAGCUAACUAACUAACACUACAAUUAAACUUACUUAAUUAUUAACAAUUAACAAACAGUAAAGCAGUAUAAACAGUAAACGCCCAGUAAUCAUUGAAUUGUGUGUCGACAACUACAUACUAACUACCUACCGUAUAUCGAAGUAAUAGCCGUAUGUAAAACGAAUGAAAAAAAAAUAACUUGUAUUCUACCAGUUGUAUCAGCCAAUCCAGUUCUAAUAAGCAAGCGAUUAAAAAUAACCCAAUGCCCGAUUUUAAGCCCGAACCGUUUAGUCCAUCUUCUCCUCCGUUCCUAUUCCAUAGUCCUUCCUUCUUCCUUAUCAGAUACCUAAUCCGGUGGAUUAACCGAAUCGCGAGUGCCGCGAGAAUCGUCCUUCUAUCCCUUCCGACUUAUCCGAUCUACCACCACUACUACCAAUAUCCGAUCCAAAAAAAAAAAAGAAAAGAAAAAAAGAACUCCCGAUCACUGAUCAAAUCCACGGAACGAUAAAACUCCCUUCGGUAUAAAUGAGAGACGCAGUAAAACAGAAAAAAAAAAAUAUAAACGUUAAUUCCCGCUGAGUAAAAAUAAUAACGAUUAGUGUUUUUCCGUAAACAGCUUUUACGAAGGACGAAGCAACCAAACCAAAAAAAUUAAAAGAAAAAAAAUAAUAACAAACGAAAGGAAAAGAAUUCAAGAAACAGAAGACUUCGUAUCGUAUUACGAUUGUAUGCACAUGUGUGGGGAGACCAUGUAACUUUUAACUCCGCCGCUCACGAUCGCCGUCUCGGCACUCGCGAUCAGUACCUCGGGGAGAAUCUUUUCCCUUAAAAAAGGAGAAGGAGAUCCUCGCGUGACGACCGAUCGCGAGUACGAACGCGCGAGAUUAGCCCUCGAACCCACCUUUACCCACCCUCCACGAACCGGCUAUCAUUAGCAGCUACGUCCCAAAAUAUCCAAUCUAACCCACGAAUUCCACCCACGAAAGACUAGUCACCACCACUAUCGCAGCCACCACCGUCACGAACCACUACCAUCACCGCCAUCACCAUCGUCCCGUCCUAGCCCUCUCUUUAUCUACCCGCAACCCUCGAUUCCCUACGUGUUGUAUUAUCCGUUAUUUUCGAUAUAAUAUUAUAUAUAGUAUACUAAUGAUAUUUAAAGAUAAUACGACGACGAUAAGGUAUGGGAGACGUUUGGUCACACACAGAUAGGACAUCACACGGAUUACGCCAUCCUCACAUGACCAUUUUGAUCGACACACACACAUACAUACCUACAUAAUACAUACUCGCACACAUACAUAGUCUACAAACGCGCGCAGACACCGAGGAGAGAUAUACUUACAAAGAGGGAGAAAGAGUGAGAGAGAGAGAGAGAGAGAGAGAGAGAGAGAGAGAGAAAGAGAGAGAGAGAGAGAGGGAGAGAGAGAAAGAAAGAGGGAGACACACACGUACACGUACACGCACAGCAACAUACGCGCACGCACACUAAACAGGUACCAGCUGUAAUAGACAGAUGUAAAACAGGAAAAGUAAAACAAAAAACAAAAAAGGUAAACCAUGAAUAACAGAACACUAGUUGCCGUGCAGUUUGUGAAGAAAUAAUAAUACAAAAAAAAAACAUAAAAUAAAAUAAAACAUACACGUAAUGAUAACCACCGACCUACCCGCGGGUCCGCUUCGUUCUUAAAUAGCCCCGCGAGGCCAGUAGUCGGCACACGCCCUCUUUACUUUACCAUCGAGAUCGCUUGAGGAAGCACGACGAGGACGAUCCGCAGGGAUUCCGCAGAGGAGGACGCGAUUAUAUAUAUCCCGUCCUCCUCCUCCUCCUCCUCCGCUAAACGAGCUCCUCCUCGUUGGUGCAAGAUCCUCAAGCGAAUCGGUUAGCGGGGCGCGUGAGUCGCCGGCACGGACUCAACGAGAUCGGGGCGUGAGAAUAAUAUCUGCCUCAGCGUAGCUAAACGUUUUUGUACAGAGGACUCUAAAUGGAGAUUGCAUUUAACUUGAUGUAAAAUCUUGAGUUUACAGAGCAGCACUAUACAUACCACACAGAUGAAUGUAUAUAUUUUUACGUUACAGAAUAUGCCUGAGCUUUAACAGACAGGCGCCAUAAGACUGGUUCUCAUUUCCCACGAAACAAUGCGUAUAUAAAUGCCACAUAACUUUUAACGAAGAGAUUGCGCGAGAGAGAGAGAGAAAGAGAGAGAGAAAGAGCGCGAGCGAUAGAGAGGUAUUGAAAAAAAAAGAGGAUCCUAUAUUAUAAUGUAAAACCUAAUGAUAUUUGUAUACAGUAAUGCGACCCACCUGGUACCAUCGAACCGAGACACAAGGGGGUUGGAAUAAAAAAAAGAAACAAACAAACACACACGUACACGCCAACGGUCAAUGAGACUUAGGGCUGCCCGCUAGCAACACCAAGGUACCGCGAAGACCGUUUGGACAAUUCGAGAGGUCGAUUCGUGCGAUCUGUCGAUCACGGAAAAAUCAAAAAGAAGAGAAACGACGUGAACGGGUGGGAUAGGGAGUGGGCGGUGAGAAAAAAUAAUGUGACGAAUCGAUUCGACUCUCGAAUUGGAUCCAAACGAUUGACGGGUACUAAACUCGAUAUUAACCGUCGACGAGGAGACCGAGGGGGUGUGAAAGAGCGAGAGAGACAGAUAGAUAGAAAUUAAAAUGAAAGAUAUAGCUGAACGGACGCUAAUAAUUGGCAUUCGAAUUCGCGACGCAACCCGUGAGAACGUUUUUUACACACCGUGCUAAAUUAACAUCCUGAUUUUUACAUUAGGCCGUUAUCUCCGCCGAACCUUAUCGAAAACUUCCAACGAAAAACCUCAAAAAAAAUAGGGCGAAGAUAGAGAGAGAGAGAGAGAGAGAGAGAGAGAGAGAGGGAGAAAGAGGGAGAGAGAAAGAAAGAGAGAGAGAGAGAGAGAGAGAGAGAGAAAGAUAGGGAGGGAGAAAGAUAAAGGAUAAGUCGUCGUCGUCGAGACGGUAUUGUUUGUCAAGACGGUCGAGAUGUAAAGAAAAAGAGAAAGAACAAAAAAAAAGAAAGAUAAGAAUGAAGGAAGGAAAGAUGGCGGCGCACGAAAAGAACCCAGGGUGUGUUGCCUGCGGGUACCCCGACAGAAGCAUAACGCGGGUAGGAGUUUCUAAACAAGAAUUCCCGAUGCACUCGAGUUCCCCUGCGACUCGAGUCGAGCGGGAAGGUCCUAAUUUUCAAAAUAAAAAAAAAUUAAUAAUAAUGAUAAUAAAAAAAAAAAAAAAAAAAAUACUAAAUCCGUGCUCGCGGCUUCGUUGGUCGGAGUUCAACGCGAUACAACGAUCGUCUCGACAUUGGCUCCUAGGAAUAGAUUAAUAAACAUUUUGAUAACGUGAUCAUGGCUUGGAACAAACAUUUGAGAUAUAUGAAUGGGAACAAUAUCGAAGACGAUCGAUAGAUCGCGUUAAAGCAAAGAUCGACGGACCGAGAGGCUAUUCAUGACACACGUUUGAGUUGCAGUGCAAGCGAACAUCUGUAGAGCCAUAUACGUAUAGUAUGUUAUUGUAUCUUUAAAGAAAGGCGAAGAUUAGGAGAGGAUAAAGAGAGAGGAAUGAAAAAAAAGAAAAAAAGAAAAAGAAGAAAAAAGAAAAACAUUGUGGAAGAAAAAUUUACUCGAAGACAAUUAUUAAGCGUAGUAGGUGUACAUUUUUAUAAAGGUCGCGGUUGCAUUUCGACAAACCAAAAAAGAAACGUUCGAUGCAGCAAAAACGAAAUAGACAGGGAAAAAGAAAUGGAAUCAAGGGGUGACAGAAUUUGUAGCGAGGAAUCUUGAUAAUAAUAUUAAUUCGAAACAGAGACAUGAGAAAGAGAGCGAGAGAUUCGAGCGAGAUGUGAAACAAAUAUAGGAAGAAAGGGAAUGUGUAAGAGCGAGUAAGAUAUGGAUGCAUGAGAAAAUGAAAGAUAGAUAGAGAGAGAGAGAGAGAGAGAGAGAGAGAGAGAGAGAGAAUGGGACAGAAAGAGAGAAUGGAACGAAUGAAACAGAGUGUAGAAUGAUAAUGAGCGAACGUAUGAGUGAGAAGUAAUAGAAUGAUAGAAAGCGGGAAACGAUGAGAGAAAAAGAUAAAAAAAAAGUAAAGCGAAAGACAGAUAUGACAGAGAAAGGAGAAGGGAAAACGUAGAGAAGGGUCGUUAUGAUCCAACAUCGCGAUGGCGGCUUGGUCACCGGCGGCCCCGUCCGAAACGGGUGCAAGUAACUUUAGGUGUAUAAAGGAAAAAAAAAUGAUUAAAAUUUUACCUAUCCUCUCGUGGUUUUUAGACAUUAUUGUAAAAAAAAAAAAAAGAUAGAAGGUCAAAGAGAGAGAGAGAGCGAGAGAGAGAGAGAGAGAGAGAGAGAAAGAAAGAAAAGAAAGAAAAUAAAGAAACGAAGAAGCUAUUAUAGGUAAUGACUGUGUUAUUAGUCGAAUGUGAAGAUGUAUGAGAAAGAAAGAAAGAAAGUUCUAAGGAUAAGCGUGAAUGAAUGAUCGAAAGAGAGAGAGAGAGAGAGAGAGAGAGAGAGAGAGAGAACAAGAAUAAAUGAAAUGAGAAGCCGAAGAAACAUUUAUUGUAAAUUUUUGGAAGUGAUUUGGUCGCUCGGUGACUGUGCCACGAUCUCGAUGAAGAUACUCAAAGUUUCGUGCGAAAAUUCGAACGGAAAGGAACGUAAAGAUUACGAAUUGUCGACGUUGUAUCGAUCAAUUAAUCGUCGAACUUCGUUUUGACGACGUCGUACCGACAGUAAUUGUAAACGUUUCUCUCCGUUUGCCCAUACGACAACGUAUUUUUCCUUUUUCUUUCUCGCACGAGAAUAGAAAGGAUAAUAAUAUUUCGCGACAUUUUUCGAACAAAAAUGAAGAAACGAGAAAGAAGACCAAAAAAAAAAAAAGAAAAAGAACAAAAAAUAAAUAAAGAAAAACAAGGAAAAAAGAGAAAGAGAAAGAAAUAAUGGAAACGAAAUAGUUAUUUCGUAUUCCAAGGAGAUCUAACGCCCGUGCUCACUUUCGAUUAGAGCACAUUUGUUUCGAUUUCGAAAUCACGUUUCUGGGGCUUUUUAUAUAUUUUUGGCAAUGAUAUCUCUUGAUAAAGUUAAGAUAUAUAAGCGCAACAAAAUAAUACAUGACGAUUUGGGGAAUGCUGACGAAAGGGGCGUGCAUUAAAUUAAGCGAAAAUACUUCGCUGAUGUCUAUUGUUAACUAAGAUUUCGAACGGAUGCGAAAUAAAAAGAGAAGUGCACAAAAGAUAAAUUCAAAGAACAUAAUAAAAAUGAUCGACUUGUGAAAGGGAAGAAAAUAGAGUGCGUAGACGAACUUGAAAAAUGAAACAUAGAGAGAUUGAGUGUAUGUGAACGUCUGUACGUGUUUGUGUGUGUGUGUGUGUGUGAGAGAGAGAGAGAGAGAGAGAGAGAGAGAGAGAGAAAGAAAGAGGAGGAGAAAGAGAGAAGAGGAAAUAAAAGGGGAAAGUUGUGGUAAAAUAAUAUUUAAAUAUUCGUAUCGAAACAAGAAAAAAAAUUGUGUAGGGCCUCGAUAUACUGGUGUACGAAAAUGAGUGGAACGAUAUGAAAGCGUUGUGAAAUGAUAAUUGAGAGAAAGAGCGAAUAAACGAGCGAGCGAGAGAGAGAGAGAGAAAGAGAGAGAGAGAGAGAGAGCGAGAGAGAGUGAUCGAGAGAGAGAGAGAGAAAAAGAGAGAGAGAAAGAGCGAAAGAGAGGGGCCGAAACUACUAAAAAUAUUUAUAAUAUAUGGCUACAAGUACAAAUUACUUCGACUACUGAGCGUAGGUGUAUUGAUGUGUGAACAAAAUUUGGUUGGCCGAUGACCGUUUUUGAAAACCAUCAUACUGCGUAUCAAAGUAUGUAAAAUUUAUUGAAUAAACGCUAGCGUAUUAUGAUAUAAUGUAAUCUAAUAAUGUAAUAUUGUAAUGACGAGUCUAAAUGAUGAUGUUAAUUUGAAGUUUAGGAGCGCGCGUGAGAGUGCACAUGAAUGAAAAAAAGAGAGAGGACAAAAAAAAGGUUAUUGUGCAUACGAAAACAAAAAAAAAAAAAAAGAAAAAGAAGAUAAUGACAAAUUACACCUUUAUAACGAUUAUCAGUAUGAUUAACGAUUAUUGUAUUGCGAUUUAAAAGAGAAAAAAAAAAAAAGAGAAGAAAGAAACGAUUGUCAAUCACUCGCCACAUUUCGUUAAUGCCGCCACGCGUUUUUAAACGAUUUUACGCUCUUUGGUCUCACCCUUUGUUCUAUCUGAACGUUUACAUAUGAUUCCGUUCGUAAAGACGUUCGUGAUUAUAGCGGCGAUCACCGAUAAAAAAAUAAUAAUAAUUAUUAUUAUUAUACGUGUAUUGUACAUGACAGCGAGAAAAAAGGUAUGAGUUGUUCACAAUUUCGAGACACAUAUAUACGUUCUUGGCAAACUAUACAAAAAGAAAAAAAAAAAGGGAAGAGAAGAUCGACUCGAGCGCUUAAAAAUGGGGAAAAUGAUUGACGAGUACGACAGUGAGAGAAAAAGGGAGAAAUUGAGAUAUUGAGAGAGAGAGAGAGAGAGAGAGAGAGAGAGAAAGAGAGAGAGAAAGAGAGGGAAAGAGAGAGAGAGAGAGAGAGAGAGAAAGAGAAAUAGAGAGGGUGAUUGAAUGAGUGUGUGUGAUACGUGUGAUAUGUACAAGCAUGUUUGUGAGCAGAAAUGAUAGAGUGAGAGAGUGAAUGAGAUAGAGAGUGAGAGAAAAAAAAUAUUAGAGAACGAAAGAAUGAGAAAACUAGCAAGGGAGAAAAUUCACACGCUGAAUUACUCGCACGGGAACAAAACGCUCGACGGCCCGCGCGACUAGAGAAACAAGAAUAGGAGAAAUGCGCACAAAUGAUAAAAAAAAUUUUCAGUCUCGCGAAAACUCAAUCCUCGGCGACGUUCGGCAUGGAUCGGCCGAGGAAUAAGAUGAUACAAAAAAAAUGUAGAAGGCGACGGCUAACUGGCCACUUUUUCGGCGUACACUAAUUCCAUAUCCGAGAAAAGAUGGAUAUGAAAAUCUCAUGGUAAGCUUGCCCGCACCCGGCAGCGACGCACUCUCGGCGCCUCGCUAAAUUCUAUUUUUGUAAGCAUAUUUCUAUAAAGGUAUACUAACGAUACGGCAAAAUUUAUUAUUCCUAGUGUGGUGAAAAUGAAAAUUGAACGUUUAGAUUUCGUUAGUAUAGUGUAAAGAUGAUGAUGAAAUAAAAAAAAUUAACGAUGUCUAGGUCCUAUUCGUGUACUUAAAGGUGAAGUAUAAGAAAAAAAAAAAAAAAAAAUAAUAAUAAAAUUAUAUCGUCGGCGGCGUCGUAGGUUGUAAAAUUGUACAUAAAUUAUUGCAAGAGGAGGAGCGGUGGGUUGCCUCGCUGACGCUUGGGCGCGUGGCUAGCUUUCUCCAUUGAUCUUUCGGCCCAGAAGAAUUAUUAUUAUUGCCCCUCGUGGAUGGGCUAAGCAAGCUUUUCGGCCAAGGAAUCAAAAUUCGUUUUCUCAGUUAGUCGUGCGAGCCGUUAAUCGUACCCCGACGUUCCUAACAACGUGUCACAACCGCGAGAGCAAAUAAAUUUAAAUGAAAAGAAAGAAGAAGAUAAAGGGAAAAAACAAAACACAAAAAGAGAACAAAGACGGAAUAAGUAUGAAGUUUCAACUGUCUCGUCAAAGAGAGAAAGAGAGAGAGAGAGAAUGAGAGAUAGUAGAACAAAUCUAUGCAUGAAUGCGUGUGUAUGCGUGAAUGAGAGAAAAUGAGAGAUGUGAUGAGAGCGAGAGAGCGAGAGUGAGAGAAAGAGAGAGAGAGAGAGAGAGAGAAAGAAAGAGACAACACGAAGGCUCUCCCUUCUCGAUGACCUAGGGUGAAUUCGGCGACGAUGCACUGCCGCUUUUUGAAGCAAAGAAACAAAAUAAUAUAUAUAAAUAUAAAAAUAUUAUAUUAUAUAUAUAUAAAUAAAUAAAUAACUAAAUAAAUAAAUAAAUAAAUAAAUAAAUAAAUAAAUAGAUAGAUAGAUAGAAGCACCAAAAAUGGCAGACGGAUAUCGUGCGAAAUUCCGUAACGCAAUCAGGGUGAAUCGAUGGAGUGGCCUCCUCGAGUAGAAAUAAUUUACAUAUUUUUUUUUUUCUUUUUUUUUUUGUUAUUCUAAAAAUGAGAUUAGAGCUAAUUAUUAUCAAAAUUGAUCGUUUUAAUAGCUUAACGUAAAUUUCAACGAAAAAUAAUAAACCCCCCUU